rnacentral:rRNA from 1 species
AUUGAACGCUGGCGGCAUGCUUUACACAUGCAAGUAGAACGGCAGCGCGGGCUUCGGCCUGGCGGCGAGUGGCGAACGGGUGAGUAAUACAUCGGAACGUGCCCAGUAGUGGGGGAUAGCUCGGCGAAGGCCGGAUUAAUACCGCAUACGACCUGAGGGUGAAAGCGGGGGAUCUUCGGACCUCGCGCUAUUGGAGCGGCCGAUGGCAGAUUAGCUAGUUGGUGGGGUAAAGGCCUACCAAGGCGACGAUCUGUAGCUGGUCUGAGAGGACGACCAGCCACACUGGGACUGAGACACGGCCCAGACUCCUACGGGAGGCAGCAGUGGGGAAUUUUGGACAAUGGGCGAAAGCCUGAUCCAGCAAUGCCGCGUGUGUGAUGAAGGCCUUCGGGUUGUAAAGCACUUUUGGCGGGAACGAAAAGGACUGUGCCAAUACCACGGUUCGAUGACGGUACCCGCAGAAUAAGCACCGGCUAACUACGUG